rnacentral:rRNA from 1 species
CCUACGGGAGGCAGCAGUGGGGAAUAUUGCACAAUGGGGGAAACCCUGAUGCAGCGACGCCGCGUGAGUGAAGAAGUAUUUCGGUACGUAAAGCUCUAUCAGCAGGGAAGAAAAUGACGGUACCUGACUAAGAAGCCCCGGCUAACUACGUGCCAGCAGCCGCGGUAAUACGUAGGGGGCAAGCGUUAUCCGGAUUUACUGGGUGUAAAGGGAGCGUAGACGGCAGCGCAAGUCUGGAGUGAAAUCCCAUGGCUUAACCAUGGAACUGCUUUGGAAACUGUGCAGCUAGAGUGCAGGAGAGGUAAGCGGAAUUCCUAGUGUAGCGGUGAAAUGCGUAGAUAUAAGGAGGAACACCAGUGGCGAAGGCGGCUUACUGGACUGUAACUGACGUUGAGGCUCGAAAGCGUGGGGAGCAAACAGGAUUAGAUACCCGGGUAGUC